rnacentral:lncRNA from 1 species
ACCCCUCGCGACCAGCCCUUCCACACACAUAACCUACUGGAAAUGGAGCGCCGCGGAUGGAGAGGACACUGGCCGCCACCGGAGGGGCAGGUUUGACAGGCGACGGCCACCGGGGCUGCCUGGCGGGGAGGGAGCGCGUACAAAGCAGCCCUGCGGUGGCAGCUGCGCUGUCUUUUUGUACGGAGGGCCCUCACUCUGAGGUUCACACACAGAACUCAGAGCCAUGCUGGGCCUCUGGGCUCUGCAGCGGGAAGACGGAGGAUGCAACGGGGUACGCGGUGUCCACUCAGCGUCACCGACUCCAAGUCUCUCAAGCCAACUAAAGACAAACCUACGCUGCCCCCGCGACAAUUUCCUCAGUGCAAGGGACCAACUCACCUCUCAGAGCGGACCGGCGCUAAGCAGCCGGAAGGAUGCUGCGCAGAGGCCUGUGGGAAAUGUAGUCCAUGGUGGGAAAGACUGGGCCAACGCAGCGGAGUGCGCAAGCGUGCUCGGGGCUGUGAUGGGUGGAGGCCUCUGGGUGUGAUCUUGGACCAGCUGGAAGGGCUAGGAGAUUCCGCUGCCCUCUGCCCCCAAAUCCCCACCCCAAACCUAGCUCACUGGGCUGGGGGUUGUGUCGUUGCCCUACCAGGGCUGAGAACACCAUCAUCACAUUAUCACAUGCUUAAUAUGUGAGAUAAGCAUAUUCUCACCCCAGCGAGGGUGUAGGCAUGAUCAGGGAACUCAGUAAAAUACAUUCUCCAAAGGUGCAGUCCCACAUCUACCCAGGGAAAGGUUGCUCAGGCUCCUUGGAGUUCCCGCUGCCUCUGCUUUCUCCCACUGUCCCUUCUAGCCGUUGUGUAUAUUGGUCUAGUCGUUGGUAUUGGCCUUAGGUUUUGUUUUGCAAACUGGAGAUGAAGCCAAGACCUCUAAGACUGGAAAGAUAAUUAUGCUUUCUUCUAUCACAGUGGUUCUCAACCUGUUGGUCGAGAUCCCCCCCCCCCUUGGGGGUCAAAUGACCUUUCACAGGGACCACCUAAGACCAUCAGAAAACACAGAUAUUUACAUUAGGAUUCCUAACAGUAGCAAAAUUACAGUUAUAAAGUAGUACCGAAAAUAAUUAUAUAGCUUGUGGAUCACCACAACAUGAGGAACUGUAUUAAUGGGUCGCAGCUUUAGGGAGGUUGAGAACCACUGCUCUAACAUUUUCUUGUGUUUGUGCCAGGCCUCAUCCGGUCUUCAGGAGACUGAAGCAUGCAGACUGCAAAUUCAAGAUGAAUGG